UUGUUCAUUCUUUUGGAUAAAUUUAGAAGUUGUAUUUACUUUCAACUUGUUAAAUGCAGUCAGUUAGUAGAGAAUAUGUAGAGUUCCUUGGGCUUGUAAAUAGGGAGCUGCAUCGCUACAAGGAAAUCAUUGAAAUGGAAACUUGUUAUGUUCAUUGUGAGGAUAAUGUCAUCUUCAAUUUUUUUGUGCAUGACCAACUAGAGCAGAGAUUAACAUCCAAGAGGCAACAAUGAGUUGUUUCUAGUUCUAUUGGUAGCAGAGAAAUGUCUUAAAAAGUCAAUCAGUCCAAUGAUCUGCACUCAUGGUUUCUAGUUUUUCAGGCUGUGCUGAUCCUCUUCCUCUGGGGUCUUUUCAUGUGGCUGGGAUGUUGGCAUUGAUUUGGGUGAUUGGGCUUGCUUGGAUCAGAUCUUGGCUGCAAGAAUUUUUAUAUAAGCUUCUUCUAGUCACGUUUAGCUUCUUGAAACUAGACCCCCUGGUGUUUUGAGUCCAAAAAUAGUUCUUGUCUGCAUCAAUUCAGUCAAAUGGAGAUUAAUCAUGUGCUUGAUUUAUUAGUUUCUUUUGGUAUUUAAGUUUCUCACCAACACACUAAUGGCGUAAUUCUACCAAACUUUGUUUUUUGUUUGAUUAUUAGAGACCUUGUAUCAUUUUAGUAAUUGUUGACUCACAAUUUAGCCUAAUUACUCCUUUCUCUGUCUAGAAAUUUUUGUUUUCUUUCAUUGAGGCAUUUUGUGGGAUGUUGUUAUCCAACAGGAUGUUCUUGGGAACUCAUCUAGAUUUUUUGUAGCCAUUGGGCAGUGAAUAUUCUGAAUCUGAAAUUUCUUUGUAGUGUUCCUCUUUUCAGAGCCUUUUGGCAGUUUAUUUUGCUAUUUUGGGUGUUGCUGAGCAAGAAAUGUUUUAGCUAGCUGGCAUACUUCUUCUAGCUUAACUA